AACGAACGCUGGCGGCAUGCCUAACACAUGCAAGUCGAACGAAGUCUUCGGACUUAGUGGCGCACGGGUGCGUAACGCGUGGGAAUCUGCCCUUGGGUACGGAAUAACUCAGAGAAAUUUGUGCUAAUACCGUAUAAUGUCUUCGGACCAAAGAUUUAUCGCCCAAGGAUGAGCCCGCGUAAGAUUAGCUAGUUGGUGGGGUAAAAGCCUACCAAGGCGACGAUCUUUUGCUGGUCUGAGAGGAUGAUCAGCCACACUGGGACUGAGACACGGCCCAGACUCCUACGGGAGGCAGCAGUGGGGAAUAUUGGACAAUGGGCGAAAGCCUGAUCCAGCAAUGCCGCGUGAGUGAUGAAGGCCCUAGGGUUGUAAAGCUCUUUUACCAGGGAUGAUAAUGACAGUACCUGGAGAAUAAGCUCCGGCUAACUCCGUG
rnacentral:rRNA from 1 species